GAAAUGCGAUAAGUAAUGUGAAUUGCAGAAUUCAGUGAAUCAUCGAAUCUUUGAACGCACAUUGCGCCCGCCAGUAUUCUGGCGGGCAUGCCUGUCCGAGCGUCAUUUCAACCAUCAAGCCCCCGGGCUUGUGUUGGGGACCUGCGGCUGCCCGCAGGCCCUGAAAACCAGUGGCGGGCUCGCUGUCACACCGAGCGUGUAGCAAUCACCUCGCUCAGGGCGUGCUGCGGGUUCCGGCCGUUAAACAGCCUUACAAAACCCAAGGUUGACCUCGGAUCAGGUAGGAAGACCCGCUGAACUUAAGC
rnacentral:misc_RNA from 1 species